UGACCCAGUUCCAAUCUCUAGCCGUAUUCUUCUCUAUAAACAUAGUUGCCGUAGUUUUCAAUGACCCAGUUCCAAUCUCUAGCCGUAUUCUGCUAAAGAAGUUUAUGUCUACGAUGGCGUAUAUAGAACUUGAAAAACCUCUUCUUCUAGUGCUAAUUAAGGAGGAUAAGAAACCGUCCUGGAAUGCAUGGGGGAGAGGACGUGAGGGAAAAGUGUACAUUUGUCCUGAGCGCAGUUGCAAACAUCACGACCCGAAACAAGCUUUGGGCGAUAUCACAGCAAUAAAGAAACACUACGCCAGAAAACACGGCCUAGAGAAGAAUUGGAAGUGUCCAAAAUGCCUCAAGAAAUACGCAGUGGAGACAGAGGCAGAUACCGACCCAAAAGAACACCUCUUUGUGGGUGAGAGAGGAAUAAAAAGAUGUGUAAAUUAUAGGGUAUAAAAUUAGGGUUUUCAUUGGUGUUAUUUUUUAUUUCCAACUAAUUAUGUGUUUGGUUUGGUUGUGAUUUUGAACAUUAAUGAAACCUUGAUUUGUAGUUUGUUUCCUUUACUUUUACUGAAUGAUACAUUACUUUUACUGAAUGAUACAGUACUUUUAUUCAGGCAA